CGGGAGGCAGCAGUGGGGAAUUUUGGACAAUGGGCGCAAGCCUGAUCCAGCCAUGCCGCGUGCAGGAUGAAGGCCUUCGGGUUGUAAACUGCUUUUGUACGGAACGAAAAGGUCUUUUUUAAUAAAGAGGGCCCAUGACGGUACCGUAAGAAUAAGCACCGGCUAACUACGUGCCAGCAGCCGCGGUAAUACGUAGGGUGCGAGCGUUAAUCGGAAUUACUGGGCGUAAAGCGUGCGCAGGCGGUUAUGUAAGACAGUUGUGAAAUCCCCGGGCUCAACCUGGGAACUGCAUCUGUGACUGCAUAGCUAGAGUACGGUAGAGGGGGAUGGAAUUCCGCGUGUAGCAGUGAAAUGCGUAGAUAUGCGGAGGAACACCGAUGGCGAAGGCAAUCCCCUGGACCUGUACUGACGCUCAUGCACGAAAGCGUGGGGAGCAAACAGGAUUAGAUACCCGCGU
rnacentral:rRNA from 1 species